CACCAAUGGCUCCCCUCUUCUCCAGGAGCUUGGAAAAUUUAGUCUAGCCAAGUAGAAAAUAAAAGCACAAAGCCAAAAACACCCCACAGGCUUAAGAGUUGAGCUACAGAUCUAGGCUCAAAUCAUGAUUCCACCACUUGGUAGUCAUAUGACUGAGCAAAGACCCUCUCUGAGCUUGUGUCUUGAUCUACAGAAUGAGAAUAAGAAUACCUAAGUCAUAGUGCUGUGGGAAGAUGAGGUAAAUACGGCCCAAAGCUGAGUAAAAUACCCGGUAUGUGGAAGGCACUUGAUGACAGUGUUGCCAUCAUCGCCAUCAUCAUCAUCACACCAUCAAUCUUCCCACCCUUACAUACAUAUACCUUGAUUUUUCCUUGCUCAGUGGUUUUUUUCUCCUCUGUCUGCAGAAGGAUGUGGCCACAUCACACAACACUGCCCAGUUCAUGGGAGCCACACAGGAAUGUUUCUUCCCAGCUCCCGCGUAACCCCUACUUACAUUGGAGAAAAGGGCAAGGAAUAAAAAUAAUAAUAGGUUUCCAGCGUGGUGGCUACCAGCAAAAUCCGAGGAUGGACAUAAAGAAUAAAAAGAAGACAAUACAAGAUUCCAGGUUGAGAAAGAUGCGGAGAACAGACACAAAACCAGGAAGGAAAACAGGAGAUUGUUAAUGAUCACCAAGAUUCUUAAAAGAAGCAAGAGUUCUUACUAAUUCAUCUAGACUCUGUUAGAAAUCUUCCAAGAGGCGACCUAACGGCAGAGCAAGUGUGUGUGUCCGGGAAGCGGGGGCCCUUCUGCUCCCACAGUGUGGGGUUACCAAGAGACACCUAUGUUUGUCCACAGACCGGUUUUGCCACUUGUACUUGUUUUCCUUAUUAUGUAAACCAGUGAAAUAUGAGUGAGAAAAAGAAUCAUAAGAGCCAAACCGAAUGCUUUUAAUAAAUAGUAGAGGGGAAAGUAGCUUUACUGCUGG
rnacentral:lncRNA from 1 species